CCCAAGUCCAGUCAAAUCACUAUAAGUACAUGGUCCUGAUCAAAGUAAUCGCAAUAGAUUUGUUUUCAGUGGUAAAGUGUGAGAAAAGUUGUUCUGAUUAACAUACUAAAAAUCAAAAAAAAUCCCUUCGGUGGAACAUGGUGAAAAUCGAGUUUUUCUUGCUUCUACCUAUAGAAAACCCUUGUGGACAGAAUGUUGAAAUUUUGAAAUCAUUUUUAGGAAAAUGUAACCUACAUUAUUGGAAAGCUUAGAAA